GAUGAAGAACGUAGCGAAAUGCGAUACGUAAUGUGAAUUGCAGAAUUCAGUGAAUCAUCGAAUCUUUGAACUCACAUUGCGCCCGCCAGCACUCUGGCGGGGAUGCCUGUUCGAGCGUCAUUUCAACCAUCAAGCCCCAGGCUUGCGUUGGAGCCCUGCGGCUGCCGCAGCCUCCUAAAAGCAGUGGCGGGCUCGCUAUCACACCGAGUGCAGUAGAUUACUCUUCGCUCAGGGCGUGCAGCGGGUUCCGGCCGUGAAACCCCCUACUUUUAAAGGUUGACCUCGGAUCAGGUAGGAAAACCCGCUGAACUUAAGCAUAUCAAUAAGCGGAGGA
rnacentral:misc_RNA from 1 species